CACCACAGAUCCUCGACCCCCUUCGACCCCUUAAUCACUUCCCUUCGCCCUCUGGCUGCAAAAUCCUGUGGUGUGCUCUCCUAUCGCUUCGAAUUGCUCGAAUCUGCGCAUACAUACAUGAUGCAUGCAAACAACGUGAGAGCAAGGAGCCGCGGAUGGGAUGAGGAAUGACAAGAAGAUGACGGGGCAUUGAACAGCAUAUCACAAUUGUAUCCUGGCUAGACUUGUACGCAAUCGAAUUGCGAGGUAGGAGCGGAUCUGAAUGAUGUAUAGGACGGAAGACUUCUAUAACCUGGAAUAUGGUGAGAACAUCUUCAAACUUGUUCAUCUACGAAGAUUCUUAGUCCAUUUUGAGGAUUGAGCUUUCUUUGACUCACAGUUGCAAUCUCUCUGUGUUAUAUGUCUUGAAAGACUAAAUGUUCUCAAUCUGUUUGUGUCAUAUAUCUUGAAUGACUCAGUGUUCUCAACAGAAGAUUUGACCUGGGGCUCUUCCACUGCAUGUAAUACUGAACUUUAGUCGGAGAUUACAUUACACUUACAAUGCUCUUGAUUGAACUGUCAAAAGAACAUCGUACUCAGAUUUGGUAACCUCCCGACGAGCUUCACCGGGCUUGUUAUCAGAGUCAAUCCACCAGUUGCCUCGAGAUAAGAAAUUUCUCCAAUGUCACCGAUCAAUCACAGCAAGAAGGAUCACACAGGAACGACUUGUAACAUGUUCUGGAAGACCACGUCUUUCACCAUCGACAACAAGUCCAAUUCGGAAUGACACUUAUCAGAUAACGUCGUCCUAGGCAAGCAUGUGAUAGACAGAAGAACGAGGAAAGGCGAUCCUGGAUACUAGUUUUUUCUGUUUUAUACUUUCUUCUUGUGUUUUUUUCCGCUUCUAUCUCCCCAUCUUCUAUUUCAUGCAGUUGGUCACCGAAGCCGGGUGAAUCCUUUGUUAUUUUUUUUAUCUUACUUCUGAUACCAAUGUUGAGUAGAUAUUGUAACCCCUGUGUUCGUGUGUGUGUAGUGCUGAAUACAGUAAGGUACACCAUUGUUUGUUAGUAGGUUCAUUAUUGGGUCACCUCGGAUUUGCUUGAACUAGUCUCUUGCAUUCAUUGGUGAAUUUUGAAUCUUGAGGUGGAAAUCGUCGUCUUGGAGCCUCUCCAUCUUUGCUUUUGGAUGACCCCAGAAUCAGAUAAAUUGGAGUUAGAACGAAACUUUUUGGCAACAAUUCAAGUAGUAAACUGCUCCUUUGCACCUUGGAUUACCCAACCAACUUAUGAGAGAAGCAAUGAUGAACUGUGAAAUACUGGUGUUGUUAAACUUCAGCAACAAGCGAAGGAUUGUUCCAACAAUCUAAGGUGACGUCUAAGAUGAGAAACCACGUUACUUUCCCUUUAUUGCAUAAAUUCCGUUAUCUCGAUUGGUUUUACCAGUUACUAUACAUCACAGAAUCUGGUUUAUUUUUAGAACUAGUUCAGUCAAGAAUCUAGUCAUGAUAUAUUUCACAUUUGCCUGAACUAUUAUAAAUUAUCUUCAUUUAUACUUAA